AUUCCCCUAGUAACGGCGAGUGAACCGGGAAGAGCUCAAAUUUGAAAUCUGGCAGUCUUCGAUUGUCCGAGUUGUAAUCUAUAGAAGCGUUUUCCGUGCUGAACUGUGUAUAAGUCCCUUGGAACAGGGUAUCAAAGAGGGUGACAAUCCCGUACUUUACACAAUCAUCAGUGCUCUGUGAUACGUUCUCUACGAGUCGAGUUGUUUGGGAAUGCAGCUCAAAAUGGGUGGUAAAUUCCAUCUAAAGCUAAAUAUUGGCGAGAGACCGAUAGCGAACAAGUACCGUGAGGGAAAGAUGAAAAGCACUUUGGAAAGAGAGUUAAACAGUACGUGAAAUUGUUGAAAGGGAAACGAACGCUACGUAUCAUGUUUAUUGGACUCAGCCGAUCUUCGGUGUACUUCCUUUAAACGGGUCAACAUCAGUUUUGUCCGAUGGAUAAAGGUAGUAGGAAGGUGGCUCUCUCGGGAGUGUUAUAGCCUAUUGCCGCAUACAUUGGAUGAGACUGAGGACUGCAGCUUGCCUUUAUGGCCGGGGUUCGCCCACGUUCAAGCUUAGGAUGUUGACAUAUACUCG
rnacentral:rRNA from 1 species